GAUAACUAUAUUUGAUAUGUACGUACCUUGCAAGGUCCUCGUGUCUGUCAGACAGUUUUCACUUGACCUCAACCUCAUUUCAUGGAUCAGUGAACAAGGUUAAGUUUUGGUGGUCAAGUCCAUAUCUGAGAUACUAUAAGCAAUAGGGCUAGUAUAUUCGGUGUAUGGAAGGACUGUAAGGUGUACAUGUCCAACUGGCAGGUGUCAUCUGACCUUGACCUCAUUUUCAUGGUUCAGUGGUUACAGUUAAAUUUUUGUGUUUUGGUCUGUUUUUCUUAUACCAUAUGCAAUAGGUCUACUAUAUUUGUUGUAUGGAAUGAUUGUUAAGUGUACAUGUCUAGCGGGCAGAUGUCAUGUGACCUUGACCUCAUUUUCAUGGUUCAGUGGUCAAAGUUAAGUUUUUGAGUUUUGGUCUUUUUAUCUAAUGCUAUAUGCCAUAGGUCAACUAUAUUUGGUGUAUGGAAAUAUUUUAUGAUCUUUAUGUCAGUUGAGCAGGUUUUAUUUAACUGUGACCUCAUUUUCACGGUUUAUUGCACAG
rnacentral:lncRNA from 1 species